AUACGAUGGGGGCUAGCGUUGUUCGGAAUUACUGGGCGUAAAGCGCGCGUAGGCGGACUGAUCAGUUGGGGGUGAAAUCCCAGGACUUAACCCUGGAACUGCCUCCAAUACUGUCAGUCUUGAGUUCGGGAGAGGUGAGUGGAAUUCCUAGUGUAGAGGUGAAAUUCGUAGAUAUUAGGAAGAACACCAGUGGCGAAGGCGGCUCACUGGCCCGAUACUGACGCUGAGGCGCGAAAGCGUGGGGAGCAAACAGGAUUAGAAACCCUUGUAGUCC
rnacentral:rRNA from 1 species